GUGCCCUGGCCGGUCUCAGUUCGUGAGGUUCCUGUGCAAACACCAUGCAAGGGAAUCUAUCAUUUCAGGAUACGAAUGCUCCCCCUGUUCAGUAGUUCAAAUCUCCCGAACGUCGUUUGUCUAGGUGGUUGGGAAAUAAAACGGGCAGUGGUCUAACCAUUACCGGGGUUCAUGCUAGUGCCUAGGCGAAAAGGGUUCCAGGCACUCGACGACCAAGUACCGCUGCUCACGUUUGGG